CGUGCAGCCCCGCCACGUGACCGGCCGGGGGUCAGCAGCGGCCUCGUCCCGUCCCGGGCGCUCCCGGCGCGGCUCCCGGGCGCUCCCGACUCUCCUGACGCGGCUCCCGGGCGCUCCCGACUCUCCCGGCGCGGCUCCCGGGCGCUCUCGCCUUGCCGGCGGCAAUGCGGGCGCUGCCCCCGCGCUGGGCGGCCCUGGCCGUGCGAGCGGCGGGCGGGCAGUGGGCGCCGCCCGUCCCCCGGCGCGGUCGCAGCGGCCCCGGCCCGCCGCGGGAGUGGGCGCUGUCGGUGAGCCCGCGGGGGCGGCUGCGGGUGCGGCUGCCGUGCCAGGUGAGCGUCCGCCCGCUGGACCCGCAGCGCUGGCCGGGCGCGGAGCGGGUGCUGGUGGCCGUGAGCGGCGGCAGCCCCGGGCGGGAGCGGGAGCGGGGCGCGGUGCGGGUGGAGCACGACGAGGCGCUGGGGCAGGUGGCCAUCGAGGCGGACGGCGUGGACAGCAAGGCCGCCGUGGACGUGCGGACGCCGGUGAAGUUCGAUUUGGAUAUCAAAACGUCAGGGACUGGCUGCGUGAAGAUUCAGAAAAUAGAAUGUGAUAACUGCAAAAUAGAAACAGAGAAGGGGACUAGUGUCUUGCAGUCAAUAAAGAGCCAUAAAAUAGAUAUACGGACAAAUGGUGGCAAAGUAAUUGGUCUUGGAACACUUCAUGGCAAUACAGAUAUUUGUGCAACAGAAAAGGGGAGUGUAAAUAUAGAGAAGCUGCAGGGGACAACCAUCAAUAUAUCUACUGAAGAUGGGCUGCUGAAAACCAAAUAUCUCUAUGCAGAAUCAGCAUCUCUCUCUUCAGAAUCUGGUGAUAUUAUGCUGGGAAGUGUUCAUGGUAAUACCAACCUUCAGACCAAAAGAGGGAGUAUCUCAGUAGAUUCAUCAGAUGGAAGUCUAAAAGCUUCUACAUAUCACGGGACAAUAGAUGUUUAUGUCAGUCAAUUAAGAAAAGUGGAUCUGAAAUCCCAGAAAGCACAGUUUAGUAAAGGCAAAGUUGAAGUUCUGUUUCUGUUUACCCUGUAAAUUCAGAAUAACUGCUGACAGCUGCAGUGUAGAAAAUGUCCCACUUGUGAUAAAUGAGCUGCAUGCGUGUCGGGUUUUAUGAGUCAUCACUGAGCAACUCUCCAAAGAGGACCCAAAGAUGAAGACCUUUUCCCUUGCUUAUUCUAAGGCUUUUGUGUAUCCAGCAAAAUGCAGGCCUAAAUUAUACUGGAAGUUAUUUGUUCAUCAGAACUGUCACAGGUUCAAUUACAGUCAAGGUACCUGCAUCUCUCAAAGCCUAUUUAGAGCUGUCUGGAAGAAAAGUGGAUGUGAGCUCAGAGAUCCAGUUAAAAGAAACACAGAGUGCCUCCAAAGAUGAUCAUGUAACUCUGAGUGGU